rnacentral:rRNA from 1 species
AGGGUUUGAUCCUGGCUCAGGACGAACGCUGGCGGCGUGCCUAACACAUGCAAGUCGAACGGAGCCAAUCGAAUGAAUUUUUCGGAAGGAUUUUGAGGAAGCUUAGUGGCGGACGGGCGAGUAACGCGUGAAUAACCUGCCCAUAAGAGGGGGAUAAUCCAUGGAAACGUGGACUAAUACCGCAUAUUGAGCAUUAACCGCAUGGUUGAUGGUUGAAAGAUUUAUCGCUUAUGGAUGGAUUCGCGUCAGAUUAGCUAGUUGGUAGGGUAACGGCCUACCAAGGCGACGAUCUGUAGCCGAACUGAGAGGUUGAUCGGCCGCAUUGGGACUGAGACACGGCCCAG